UACGUAGGGGGCAAGCGUUGUCCGGAUUUACUGGGCGUAAAGAGCGCGCAGGCGGUCGUUCAAGUCGAGUGUGAAAGCCCCCGGCUCAACUGGGGAGGGUCACGCGAUACUGAUCGACUCGAAGGCAGGAGAGGGAAGUGGAAUUCCCGGUGUAGUGGUGAAAUGCGUAGAUAUCGGGAGGAACACCAGUGGCGAAGGCGACUUCCUGGCCUGUUCUUGACGCUGAGGCGCGAAAGCUAGGGGAGCAAACGGG
rnacentral:rRNA from 1 species